rnacentral:rRNA from 1 species
GGGAAUAUUGGACAAUGGGCGGAAGCCUGAUCCAGCAACGCCGCGUGAGGGAUGACGGCCUUCGGGUUGUAAACCUCUUUCAGCACAGGCGAAGCUGCUACCACGUGUGGUGGUGGUGACGGUAUGUGCAGAAGAAGCACCGGCCAACUACGUGCCAGCAGCCGCGGUAAGACGUAGGGGGCGAGCGUUGUCCGGAGUUACUGGGCGUAAAGCGCCCGCAGGCGGUCUGGCGCGUUGGGAGGGACAGUCGGCGGCUUAACCGCCGAAGGCCUCACAAGACGGCCAGACUGGAGGGCCUCAGAGGGACAUGGAAGUCCGGGUGGAGCGGUGAAAUGCGUAGAGAUCCGGAGGAACACCAAAGGCGAAGGCAGUGUCCUGGGAGGCACCUGACGCUCGGGGGCGAAGGCCAGGGGAGCGAAC